rnacentral:rRNA from 1 species
ACUGAAAUCGAGCGACAGAUAAGGAGCUUGCUCCUUUGACGUUAGCGGCGGACGGGUGAGUAACACGUGGAUAACCUACCUAUAAGACUGGGAUAACUUCGGGAAACCGGAGCUAAUACCGGAUAACAUAUUGAACCGCAUGGUUCAAUAGUGAAAGGCGGCUUUGCUGUCACUUAUAGAUGGAUCCGCGCCGUAUUAGCUAGUUGGUAAGGUAACGGCUUACCAAGGCAACGAUACGUAGCCGACCUGAGAGGGUGAUCGGCCACACUGGAACUGAGACACGGUCCAGACUCCUACGGGAGGCAGCAGUAGGGAAUCUUCCGCAAUGGGCGAAAGCCUGACGGAGCAACGCCGCGUGAGUGAUGAAGGUCUUCGGAUCGUAAAACUCUGUUAUCAGGGAAGAACAAAUGUGUAAGUAACUGUGCACAUCUUGACGGUACCUGAUCAGAAAGCCACGGCUAACUACGUGCCAGCAGCCGCGGUAAUACGUAGGUGGCAAGCGUUAUCCGGAAUUAUUGGGCGUAAAGCGCGCGUAGGCGGUUUUUUAAGUCUGAUGUGAAAGCCCACGGCUCAACCGUGGAGGGUCAUUGGAAACUGGAAAACUUGAGUGCAGAAGAGGAAAGUGGAAUUCCAUGUGUAGCGGUGAAAUGCGCAGAGAUAUGGAGGAACACCAGUGGCGAAGGCGACUUUCUGGUCUGUAACUGACGCUGAUGUGCGAAAGCGUGGGGAUCAAACAGGAUUAGAUACCCUGGUAGUCCACGCCGUAAACGAUGAGUGCUAAGUGUUAGGGGGUUUCCGCCCCUUAGUGCUGCAGCUAACGCAUUAAGCACUCCGCCUGGGGAGUACGACCGCAAGGUUGAAACUCAAAGGAAUUGACGGGGACCCGCACAAGCGGUGGAGCAUGUGGUUUAAUUCGAAGCAACGCGAAGAACCUUACCAAAUCUUGACAUCCUUUGACCGCUCUAGAGAUAGAGUCUUCCCCUUCGGGGGACAAAGUGACAGGUGGUGCAUGGUUGUCGUCAGCUCGUGUCGUGAGAUGUUGGGUUAAGUCCCGCAACGAGCGCAACCCUUAAGCUUAGUUGCCAUCAUUAAGUUGGGCACUCUAAGUUGACUGCCGGUGACAACCGAAGGAAGGGGGGGAUGACGUCAAAUCAUCACCCUUAAAUUGGGCUACACAGGGCUACAAUGGGAAAAAGGCUAAACCGGGGUCAAGCAACCCAUAAAGUUGUCAGUCGGAUUGGAGGGAACUCCGAU